rnacentral:rRNA from 1 species
AUUGAACGCUGGCGGCAUGCCUUACACAUGCAAGUCGAACGGCAGCACGGGAGCAAUCCUGGUGGCGAGUGGCGAACGGGUGAGUAAAGUAUCGGAACGUGCCCAGUCGUGGGGGAUAACGUAGCGAAAGUUACGCUAAUACCGCAUACGAUCUAUGGAUGAAAGCGGGGGAUCGCAAGACCUCGCGCGAUUGGAGCGGCCGAUAUCAGAUUAGGUAGUUGGUGGGGUAAAGGCUCACCAAGCCGACGAUCUGUAGCUGGUCUGAGAGGACGACCAGCCAAACUGGGACUGAGACACGGCCCAGACUCCUACGGGAGGCAGCAGUGGGGAAUUUUGGACAAUGGGCGAAAGCCUGAUCCAGCCAUGCCGCGUGCAGGAUGAAGGCCUUCGGGUUGUAAACUGCUUUUGUACGGAACGAAAAGGUUUGGGCUAAUAAGCUGAGCUCAUGACGGUACCGUAAGAAUAAGCACCGACUAACUACGUGCCAGCCGCCGCAGUAA